GCAGCGUCCCUGCGCACUAAGGGCGCACUCUCGGUCCCUGUGCAUUGCCUCUGUCAAGGCAUCCGCUUUUUGCUGUUGGCGUACCAUCCACACAAUCGACCUCCUUCCUUUGCGGUGUGGAAGUGUGAUGAUCGCGCCCACGGCAUCUGCGAUGCGGCUGGUGAUGGACUCGGCUGCAUCAGACAAUGGCAACAAUAGCAGCGUUAUGCAAACACCUGUCCCACCCACUGGCACGACACUGUUUCUUCGCGAGGAAGGCAGCCGCACCUUUGUCCCUGUGUAUCAUCAAUCGAGCGUGACGCUCCGCGAUUUGGCCGAGGAGUUCAACAUCAGCAGCGUUCUCGAGUGCGACGCGCACGGAAACGUUCAGCCGCGCGCAGUAGCUUUUGACUCUCCAUCGGACGUCUUGCACAGUGGGCGGCACUACAUCGCUCGGCGAGAUGCGCGGGCCGAGGCCGGCAACAGCUACGUCACCUUCCGCGGCAAGAUUCUCGUGAAGGAGUACGAACUAGAGCAUCCGACCCCGCCUGCAAGCCGGAACAUAGAGACACCGACGAUAGCAGGUGAUGGUGUAGAGAGCGCCUCCCUCGCACACAAGAUCUAUUCUGCCCCAGCUGCAACUCCCUUCCCCGACAAGCCCAGUGUGCGGCAGGGCUACAACGAAGAGGACAGAUCGAGCAUCUCGCGAGCUCUAGCGCUAUCGUCGGAGCGUAAGCGUCCGAGAGAAGACGCUAGCAGGACAAGUGCAGAGGGCUCUGCAGCGAGCGAAGGGUGUCAGCAACGCUCCCAGGCACAGCGGACGGAAGAGCCACAGCUUUCCUCGGCUACUCUACCCGGCAGUGAGAGUGUUUUGCAGGACUGCACGAACGGCGCAUGUGCGCCUCUAACGCUGCCAGGGAAAUCGAGCAACGUGCAGAGCAGCUCUGAAACUGCAAUGGAAGAUAUAUCAAUUGAUGAGCCAGCUCAACGUUCGCUGCGGUUUAUUCCGUUCUCAGAGACAGCUUCCGAUGGUAGUGAGACAUAUGUCACGCUUGAGGAUCUGCAGAGGCUGUGCCAAGAAGCCGCCACUCAAGAAGAGGAGUUCCAGAAGAGGCACAACGCCGCCACAGACAUCUUAGAGAGCGCUCGGCGCGUCCUCUUCACUACUGGUGAGGUGGACUAAAAGGCUGUACGCAUGUGUGCCUUCCUUCGAGAUAGCGCUGAGGUCCUUUUUCUCUUGUUCUACCCCUGGUAGGAGACGGCGGCGCGUGCUUCUUAUGAGACAGGGCAUAUGUAGUUUUGGCUGCGGGUGAUAGUUGUCGGUGGUGAAGCAGCACCUCCGGGGCGAUUGUGAUCGAUGCAUUCCCAUGGGUGGUCGUGCACAAAUAGACUGUUUUUCUCUUCUUUUCCGCGGCUUCUCCUAGAGUGUGCCUCUACGUGCCGCAAUCUUGUCGUGGUUUCUUUUACCUUUGCCCUAGUGGUACUCUUCUUCUUCAUGCUAGAUAC
rnacentral:misc_RNA from 1 species